GACCUGACCCAGGUUAGAAGCAGAAGUGAAACUGAGGAGAUGGGGAAUCCCCAGCCCUGGGCUUCCCCACCCUGACCUCACCUCCUGGUGACCAAGACUUUACCUCAACCCUGUGCUGUAGGAGAGGCGCUGGGCUGCGAGCCCCACACGGACCGCACAGAGAUCAGUCUCUGUUCACCUGCAGUGGCUGUAAAGAGGAAACUUUGCCUGUUCCCUCAGGAUUUCUCUUCUCAACCUUGGCCUACAGUCCUUGUGUUUCCCACACUCCUCGUGUUUCCUACACUCCUCGUGUCUCCUACACUCCUCGUGUUUCCUACACUCCUCGUGUCUCCGUGUUUCCUACACUCCUCGUGACUCCGUGUUUCCUACACUCCUCGUGUUUCCUACACACCUCGUGUUUCCUCACAGACGAAGCCUCUGUAGCCCCAGAUGGCUGUGAUUUAUUUACAGGGAUCUUCAUUCCCAGUCCUGAGAUUGUCCACGUGGACCUGGGUCAUUCAGUGGAUCCACUGAAGAGAGACCCCUGUGGAGACCACAGACAGCAGGGCACUGACCCCUGUCUACACUGCACUUCCCUGUGUCUGCACUUCCACAGUACAGUGGUCUUAGUGACUCAGUCACAGGUGGAGAGGAACUGUCACCGACUCUAACACAGAAUACUGAUGACAGUGUGGUAGGAGUUGUGUAACCUGUGACCCUCUCAGUCCCUCUCUGACCUUCACUCACACUGUGAGCUGAUGAGGUGAGGGACAUGAAUGUCACAGCUGUGUGGGACACUGCAUCUGAUAACAGAGUUGGCCCCAGAGUACCUCAGGCCUGUGCAGUGUGGACACUGGAAGAAAGAUGAUUCUCACGCAGAGAGUGCACGCUGGUGAGGUGUCCACAGCCACCCCUCAGCCUCACCAGGACUCAGAGGCACCUGUUCCAUGAGGCCCUCCAGGGUCCCACCUGUGGAAGAUGAAAGAGAAGCAUCACGGUCUUGGGCAACAGCGCCGCCUGGUGGAAGAACAGAGGAGGACAGCGCCUGAGCCCACAGAGCUGAGGGAUAGAACCACAGUUGCUGGUUCGGGCUUGGUGUCUGCCUGCUGAGAGGACUGGGCAGCACCUGCUGGUUCCUGUGUGGGGUCUGCUCGUGAGAAGACUGCACUGCAGCUGUUGACUAGUACUUGGUGUUUGCUACGGGACUGAACUGUGGACGAAGAAGAUUGAGCUCACCCCCAAAGAGCUUUUGUUAAACAGGUCCACUUCCCCCGAUAUCCUAAUAACUUUUCUCUUCCACUGCCUCUUGUGGGAGUCGGACAAAAGGAGAGGCUGGGCAUUUAUUAAUGUAGGUGGGAAAAAAUUCAUGCCUACACACCCAGUUUGUUCUUUUAAUCCCUUUCCCCUUCUUUCCCUCACAUUAUAUAGUAGAGAGAAAGACAGAAGAAAAAACAGAGAGAAAGAAAUUCUUGAAUUUGAUAUCCUUUUCCUUGGUCAUGUUUGACACAAGUGACCAACCAUGCUCUCACAACGACAAAUAUUCAUCACCCACUCAACAACCAAAUACCUAUCACCCUAACUCUUGGGAAUGAGGGUAUUGUGUUCUUAAAAUUGCUUCCUGCUGUGUAGGAACGAUGAUAUCUUUCAGGGGCCCUAAGGCAGUUAGGAUAAUGGUCAUGUCCUAAGAAAGCAAGCUGUAACAUUGGCUGUCCACACUCUGUGUGGUGUCUAAAUACAGAGCUUAACUGAAGCCCUGGAUGGAGCAGUCUGUGAGGCUGGACGAUUGUAACCAGCUGUUUUGAAGUUGUUCUGGAUAAUUCUGAGGAGCCAGCUCUUGAGGCAAUUUGAGGUUGGAUCAUCUGGGCUAUUUGUCUUGUCUUCUUUGGUGUCUGGUCCUUUCUCUGUAAACACAGAAACUUUCAUAGGUAAUACACAUGUCUGCAUUAACGCAUGUAUGGAAUGUAUGGUGUGCACAGAUCAGUUAAAGAUGAAUCUCUUCUAUGUGCGAGAAGGAAAGGCAUCAAAUGCUCUAAGUCUGUUCGUGCUAUCUACCCAUGCCGCAAUAUAAAUAUCCACCCAUGCCACAGGAAAGGGUGAUCUGAUGAGCCAUGCGGACUUUGUAGCCAACAAGAUUUAUUGGCUAUGAAUAGCUGACCUCGUGGCUGGAGACAUUCAUGUCUCAGACAGUUUCAGAGCUGUUUCCACACAGAGGGACGAGAAAUCAUGGGUUUGGUUGGCUGGUUGUUUGGCUUUUUGUUCUUUCUUUCUUUCUUUCUUUCUUUCUUUCUUUCUUUCUUUCUUUCUUUCUUUCUUUCUUUCUUUCUUUCUUUCUUUCUUUCUUUCUUUCUUUCUUUCUUUCUUUCUUUCUUUCUUUUUUGGUUUUCGGAGACAUGGUUUCUCCGUGUAGCUCUGACUGUCCUGGAACUCACUCUGUAGACCAGGCUGGCCUUGAACUCAGAAAUCCACCUGCCUCUGCCUCCCAAGUGCUGGGAUUAAAGGCGUGUGCCAACACUGCCCGGCAAGUUCUACUUAUUUUCUUCCUUCAUUUUUGCAGCUAAAAUUUUGCAGAGGUCUCCUUUGGCCAAAUGUAAUCUCUAUUAAUUUUGAAUUCAUAGCUUUCCUUCUCUUGUUGAAACAAAGACAAAACAGCUCCUUGAACUCAACACAUUUCCUUCAUUCCAUUCUGAGGUUCUCACAUAUACACUCUGAUCUAAUCCAGCAGUCCUUUCUCAACUCCAGUGUUUUACAGCGGCUGUGUUCCCUGUCUCUGGACCUUAUGACCAGACUUCAGACAAAGUAGAUUCCAUGAGGGAGGUAGAGUGUGUAGUGCAUGAGGAGGAGCCCUGCACCUCUGUGCACACAUGUAAGGAGCUUGACAAGUUUGCUAAUUCAUUUAAGCAGAAAUUUGGGGAAUGUGUGGGAAUGGAUUUUGGGGUGUGGGAUAAUGGUGGAAGGAACAUAAACGUGGGUCAGGCUGAGAUUUUUGAUGUGGGAAUGCUGAGUGGAGAACUGGUGAAGUAAUAAAAAGCAGCUACAGGUCUCUCUGUGAGUCCCUGGCUGUUCUGGAACUCACUCUGUACACUGGGUUAAUCUUCAACUCAGAGACCUGCCUGCCUCCGGGUAUGCACAACCACGGCCCAGAAAAUGUUCUUAAUCCAAUCACAAGUCUACUGAUUUUUGUUUUAUCAUUUUAGUGUAAAAAUAGUCAACAAAUGAGAGAAAGACUACAUAAUGGUGGCAAAAGAUCAUCUCCACCUUCGAAUCAGUUUCUAGACUUGAGGCAGUUUGCAGACCCAGAACCCAUUGAAUGAAUGAAUGACCCGGUUACCCCCCAGUGAGUAUCUUAUAAAAUACCUAAAAGGUUUACUGCUAGCCUUUCUCCAGUCCGUUCCUAGUGGGACCUACAGACUUUCACCUGGGUAAACCAUGCACUGUGGGGAAGAAAUAAUCAGACUUUCCAGGGUCUACUGGAUACCAAGUCAUAAAAUAGGACACACGGUAACCUAUUAUCAAAUAGAAGUGGUAUAUAAGUAAUCAGGACUGGACAUGUUCUAGAAGCACAAAGAAGUUACAUGAAGACUCUGCCCAAAUGCCUAUGGUCUUGACUCCUGUUACAAUGCCAUCUGCUGCCAAGCAUGCACCUGCAGCCUCAUGAGGUGCCUUGUUAUUGGAAGACUAAGGAAGAAGAGACCAGGGCCUGCCUUGCUGAUGGUUCUCAUGUUGUGUAGGCACCACAGGAAGUGGACAGCUGCAGCAUUACAACCCCUUUCCUGGAUAACCCUGACUCUUGUGAAGGGAAAUCAUCACAGUGGGUGGAAGUUCAGGCCACACCCAUGUUAAUACAUUUUAUUUGGAAGGGGAAAUGGCCAGAUGUGUGACUGUUCUCUAAUUCAUGGGCUGUGGCCAAUGGACUGGCUGGAUGGACAGGGAUGUGGAAAGAGCGUGAUUGGAACCAUCUGGGGAAGAAGCAUGUGCAGAGAUCUUUCCAAAUGGGGAAGGGUGUGAAGACACUUGUGUCCCAUGUACCUGCUCAUCAAAAGGUGAUGUCAGCUGGGGAGAAGUUCACUAAUCAGGUAGCCCUGGAACAUCUGUCCUUCCCCAUGUGAUGAUGGCCAAUCCUCCUGCCUCUGAUUCUUCUCCCAGAGGAUCUCUCUCAGCCUGAAUCAGCAGCGAGGAUAAAACCCAGCAGAAAUGGCCAGACCUUCCCUGAAUCAGUACAAGUCAGC